UGCAGUUGCUCAUUGCCUUUGACUCCUGCAAUCUUUCUGCUCCCUCUUCCAUGAUGAUCUCUGAACCCUGGAGAAGGAGGAGCUGAUUGCUGAGCUGGGAAGAACCUUGCCUCUGAUCUACAGCAGCCUAGGAUUUUGGCAGUGGAACAGGAUCCUAGCACAGAGUCCACUUCCUGUACAGGAAUGAGUUGACAUGAAGGGCAAGAGCCAUUGUGGAGGAUGCUCUGUCAUCUGCAUCUUUCACUUACUAGAGGGGUAAAGCAAGUAACCCAGCAGCAUAGUCUACAAGUACAGGUCGCUCCAUGACGCUCUUGGGAUAAAGCUAAGGUCUGGAAGUUACUGGUCACUCUAGAUGGGUUCUCAGAGAAGCUUCCAAGAUCCUUACACUGUUGGAGAUUGAAAAGGUGACACAGAACUUGGAUUGACUCUGUAGAGCUAAGCACAUCUCUUAAGAGAGGUGUCAUAGUCAUAGGGGAAGAUGGUCGAUAGGAGGCUCUACUCCUAGGUUUCCUUUUGUCUUGUGACUUGGGAUAAAUGGAAGAACAUGGUGCAGGGGAUUCAGAUCCGAGACUAGGAAGACUCCUCUCAGACUUCCUGAAGACCCUCAGGAGAGGAUACCACCUCUUAGCAAUGACCAGUGUGACUCUACUCUCCCCUCCCCCAGGCCCUCCUGAGAUGGUAUGGCCUGCCGUCAAUGACCACGUGUGUUCCAUUUUCCCUAAACUGUUUUGGGUGCUGCAUUUUGGUGACUGUUUGGAUUUCCUGGGUGGGCACAAGUCUCUCUAUAAACCAGUGAGCACUACCUUUGAGCUGGAAAUUCUCUUGAACACCCUGAGUAGAUACAGACUGCAGCUGUAGGUGAGACACAGACUCUGUGAGGCCCGUGUGUGAGACCCCCGUGACCAAUGACGUGAAGUUCAUACCAACAAGAGCAGUUUAAAGUUUCACUUUGGUGGAGUUUUGAGAAUUCUUAUGCUCUGUAUCUCAGACUAUGCUCACAGGCAGACACCUAAGUAUUUGAUACUGAGGUUGAAUACUAUUAUUUAAGUUAGGGUCAGUUUUAUAUCACCAUUAUCUUAACAGUUAAUAAAUCCAUCAUCUGACCUCAUUAUGUGAUCUCGGCCAAGUCAUCUCGAGCAGCAGAUGCCGUCUGAGGUGGGACUCAAGCCACAGUGAAUUGUCAAUGCAGUGUGUGGGUGUUAUGAACUGAAGUCUUCAGGGGUGAGGGGACUCACUGGAACUUCUGGGAUUAUAGAGUUGGAAUGUUGUAGGCCCGGAAGCAGGUUAUCCCAGGCUGUCUUUAGCACUUAACUGCCAUGUAUGUAUAUGUAUGUUUAUAUGUAGGCCAUACAUGGCUCUUAGGAUCCUUGUGAUUAUCAGUUUGUACACUUGGUGUGUACAAACAGACCCCUAGCUUUUACCAGCCCAAAGGCUAAGAAUGUCAUCAGAUAGCUUCUAAAAGUUAUGCCAGAAAUGCCCCCACUUUGAUGUAACUCAUCCAUCUCAUGUACCACCAAUGUAUUUUUUAAUUGCUUUGAUUUAUAAGUUGCUUUGUACUGUUACCACAUUGAAACAUGGAA